CCAAUUCCACUCCCAUCCCUCUCAUACGGCGUUAUUCCUGCUGCCCUCCUGCACGCCGAUCGAUGCUUGAUGCACUUGCAUCACAAUCACAUUCACAAGAACAAACUGCGGCACGUCAGGAAGAAACCCAGCACUCAAAGUCCCGCGGGUGCUCCCCAGCUGCAGCCUCCCCUCAGGACUGCUCCCCAACAGCAGCACCCACCCGCUGCCACGUGGGGCUGAGACGCACUGCAAUCCCUCUAUCUGACCCAGGAGCUCAGCCCGUGGCGCAGCACAGGGCUCAGCAUCACCGCAGCACCUCCUCCUGCGCACAGACACAGCCAGAGAAUGUAAUGACGGCGCUGGGCGAGAAAAGGGCACCUCAAUGUUAACGGGAGAGCAGGGAAGGCAGAAAGGAGUUUAUCGGACACAUGGAUAAAUGCGGGUUUGCAGCGAAGGAGGAUGAAGUUUCCCCGCUGCUGCUGUUGGCAGCUGAUCUCAUCUGCGCCGCUCCCACUCCGCUGCCUGUCCCGGGGGAGCAGCAUCACCUCAUCCCAGGAAGCAUCCGCCGGAAAGGUCAGGGCACUGGCAGGGACCCAGGGCGGGCAGCAUCCUGGUGUCUGUUAUUUAUGGGAAGCGAGGGAGCAGCAGAGGACGCUGAAACCUGGCAGCGGGAGAGAUGAGAGCCUUCGUAGCGCAGGGAGCGUCCCGUCCCAGGGAGCUCUACUUUCACACCUCGGCUCCAAAGCUCCAAAGCUCCAAAGCUCCCCGUCAGCGCACAGUCGGGCAGAUACAAUGCCUCUAUUCUUCCUCCGGCUAACGUGAGUCGGAUGUGGGCUAGGGCUGCACCGGGAUGCACGAGCGCUGGGCUUUGGCGUGAGGAGGAGGACGGCCCAUUAACAGAUACGAAAAUAAAGCAACAACAACAACAACAACAACAACAUCCAGACCAAAACAACAAAAAAAUAAACCACACCUCGACAAUCUGAACACUGUCCCCGCUCGCUCUGGCUCCCCAUCAGGUUUGGCAGUGGAAAAAGCAAUCACUGGCACCGGCUCCCCACGCCUUUGAGGCUGCUCCAAGGAAAGGCAGGGAUGGACAGCAUCUGUGUGCUGCCAGGGCUCUGCCCUUUGAGGGCCCUGUCCCCACAACAGGGACACGCAGAAAGCUCCUUGCUCAGCACUGGAGAGAGAGCACUGCAUAAAUCACUGUGGGCUUCCCACUGCCAUGGUGGUGGGUGGUGACACAGGGACAAGGGAUGCUUCACCACAUGAUGUGCUGCUCUUAGCUUGUCUCGGUAGUUCAGUGCUGGCUGAAGUGCACCGAAGUGCUCCUAGUACACAACCCUGCCACACACCAUCAGCAAAUGCAAGGUAACCUUGACCC